rnacentral:RNase_P_RNA from 1 species
UUAGAUACUCAUGUGAUCGCUGUAUAGUAUACAGAGGAAAGUCCAUGCUCACACAAACUGCGAUGUUUGUAGUGUUCGUGCUUGACGAAAUCAUAAGUCAAGGUAACCAUUUUGGUUAACGGCAGGCCAACUACCUACGUCCUGUAAUUGGAUAUGGAAGCGGCCUUGAAAGUGCCACAGUGACGAAGCUGAUUGGGAAACCUUUCAGGUGGAACGAGGUAAACCCCGCGAGUGAGCAACCCAAAUAAUGGUAGGGGCAUCUUCUAGUAGGGAACAGGAACCGAACGAAGGACAAGCUAAGCUUGUAGAUAGAUGAUCACAACCGGAGUACGAGGUUGACCACCGUUUGCAGUACAAUGGUACAGAACAUGGCUUAUCGAGUAUUUAACAGG